AGAAUCAACGCUGGCGGCGUGCCUAACACAUGCAAGUCGCACGAGAAAGUGGAGCAAUCCACGAGUAAAGUGGCGCACGGGUGAGUAACACGUGAAUAAUCUACCUCCGAGUGGGGAAUAACUGAGAGAAAUCUUAGCUAAUACCGCAUAAUACCCACGGGUCAAAGCAGCAAUGCGCUUGAAGAGGAGUUCGCGGCAGAUUAGUUAGUUGGCGGGGUAAUGGCCCACCAAGACGAUGAUCUGUA
rnacentral:rRNA from 1 species